rnacentral:rRNA from 1 species
CGGGACGGGUGAGUAACGCGUGGGUGACCUGCCUCAUACAGGGGGAUAACGGUUAGAAAUGACUGCUAAUACCGCAUAAGCGCACAGUACCGCAUGGUACGGUGUGAAAAACUCCGGUGGUAUGAGAUGGACCCGCGUCUGAUUAGCUAGUUGGUGGGGUAACGGCCCACCAAGGCGACGAUCAGUAGCCGACCUGAGAGGGUGACCGGCCACAUUGGGACUGAGACACGGCCCAG